rnacentral:rRNA from 1 species
GUGACAGCCGCCGCGGUAAGACGUAGGGAGCGAGCGUUGUCCGGAUUCAUUGGGCGUAAAGCGCGCGUAGGCGGCCGUGCAAGUCGGUUGUGAAAUCCCGUGGCUCAACCACGGGACUGCGUCCGAUACUGCAUGGCUCGAGGCAGGUAGGGGAGAGUGGAAUUCCCGGUGUAGCGGUGAAAUGCGUAGAUAUUGGGAGGAAUACCAGUGGCGAAGGCGGCUCCCUGGACCGGUACUGACGCUGAGGCGCGAAAGCGUGGGUAGCAAACAGGAUUAGAUACCCGAGUAGUCC